CCUGGCUUCAGGCAGCAGCUCGCUGCUCAGUCUUAUAUCACACAAAAGAGCUUUGCCCAGGCGCGUCGCCCGCUCUUUUCAUCCAAUCCUCUCCUGACAGGCAGUCUGGAAAGAAAGCGUACUCAUAUUGAUUCCGAAGGCACAAUUGGAACUCCGGCAUUUUCUUCUGGGCUCAGGGGUCGAGACGAAGGGGUUGGCAGUGCUGGCUGGGAAGCAAAGGAACAGCAGACACACAGGAGCUGAAGUGACAGUAAAUGAAGCUGUGGUCUUCAGGCUUAGGUGGAGUCGGGCGGGCGUUCUGCGCAUCUGUACCUCCGACAAAUGGAUUUGGUCCUCAGUUCCAGCCAUCAUCUGAUUUCAAGUUUGGUUACCUAGGAAACAGAGGGCACACUGCUGGGACAGUCAGCCCGUGUUCUGUGCCGACCAAAGCUAUUAAAACCCAUCAAGUCAGCCUCGGAGAAGCUGAGCACGGACAGUUUCAACUUCCAGCCAGGACUCCUCAGGCUCCACUUGAUGUUUGGCUGUGGACCUCUGCAUCUGUUUCCAUCCACUGCUGGAUGAAGCCUCUCAGGAGACAGUUAUGCUAAGAUCUUGUCUGCAAGCAUCCCCAGUAAGAGAGGAUAUGCUUAGUCCUGCUGGGACUCGAUGUCCUAGGGCAGGGUGCUAUCCAAGGGGGGCUACUUAUUCUCUGAGGAGAAUGGGAGGGAGUAAUGGGAGGAGGGAUUUGUGAGGGCAGAACUGGGACAAGAGGAGGGAGGGGGGCUGUGAUCAGGAUGUAAAAUGAAUGAAUGAAUGAAUGAAUGAAUGAAUAUGAGUACUUCCUGCUUGUCCAGAGGGUAUGAAUGACAGUGCCCAUGUCAUUGGGCAUCUCACAACUACCUGUAAUUUUACCUCCCAUAGUAUCUGAUGCCUUUGCAGCCGCCCAUAUGCUUCACAUACACAAACACAUAUACACACACAUAUAUGUAAACACACAAAGAUACACACACACACACACACAUAUAUACACACACGUGCACAUAUAAGAGCAUGAAUAUAUAUGUUCCUUUUUUGAAAAGGAAAUUGCACAAGGGCAGACUUUAAUCUACCUGAUAGAUCAUUUGUCUAGAAAGGGGACUGGCAGACAGCAGUACCAUGUAGAAUAAUUGUCGUUUAAAACAAGGACUCACAUGUUUUAAAGCAUCUACUAGGAAUUUAUGAGAUAUAACACUUAAUAAACACUUGUUUGCUACAGUAAGGAAAAGAUAAUGAAUUUCGAGGAGUCUGAAAUUGAUGUUGUGCCAGGAUAUUGUUGGUUAUACCAGGGAUGGAAUGAGGUGAUAUAGCCCUCAAUUCACAUAUCUCACUGGCCAGCUUUAAACAUGGGCUCACCCUCUUUCAAUUACUAAUCUUUGACAACUCACAUAGUUUCUGUUAUUUGUUUGUUUGCACACUGGCAAAUGAAA
rnacentral:lncRNA from 1 species